rnacentral:rRNA from 1 species
UAAUACCGCAUAAUACUGUAAACCCGCAUGGGUUAACAGUUAAAUAUUUAUAGUUUACAGAUGGGCAUGCGUAUGAUUAGAUAGUUGGUGAGGUAAGGGCUCACCAAGUCAACGAUCAUUAGGGGUUCUGAGAGGAAGGUCCCCCACAUUGGAACUGAGACACGGUCCAAACUCCUACGGGAGGCAGCAGUGAGGAAUAUUGGUCAAUGGGCGAGAGCCUGAACCAGCCAAGUCGCGUGAAGGAAGAAGGUUCUAUGGAUUGUAAACUUCUUGGUGCAGGGGAAUAAAGUUCGCUACGAGUAGCGAUUUG